rnacentral:tRNA from 1 species
GGGUCUGUAGUUCACCGUUUAGAAUACCUGGCUCCAGCCCAGGAGAAGGGGGUUAAAUUCCCUCCAGGCCCA